CGACUAUACCAGUGUGAAGUCCAUCUCUCAACCGAUGGGCGACGCCCCCGUGGUGCUGGGAUUCUUGAACUCAAGUUUACCAGCAGCCCAGAAGCCCUCGACUUCCGGGUUCACAGAUUAGAUGGUGGCGGUCAGUGCGCUGAUGAAGAUAUAAUCGGUCUCUUUCGUUAAGAUGGAUGAGAAGACGUUCCGUAGGUGAACCUGCGGAAGGAUCAUUACCGAGUCCGGGGGGUCUCUUGGCCCCUAAACUCCAACCCUGUGUCUAUUUACCAUGUUGCUUUGGUGGGCCCGCUCUCGGGCCACCGGCGGUGUUUCACCCGCUGGUUAGCGCUCACCGAUAGCCCCUUUAACAAACUCUGUCUCAAUCGUGAUGUCUAAAUGUGGAAUUUAAUAGUUAAAAACUUUCAACAACGGAUCUCUUGGUUCCGGCAUCGAUGAAGAACGCAGCGAAAUGCGAUAAGUAAUGCGAAUUGCAGAAUUCAGUGAGUCAUCGAAUCUUUGAACGCACAUUGCGCCCUUUGGUAUUCCGAAGGGCAUGCCUGUUCGAGCGUCAUUGUCACCCCUCAAGCCUGGCUUGGUCUUGGGUCCCAUCAUCACCGGUGGACCCUAAAGAUAACGACGUUGGUGGUCGACUUCUCGGUGCAACGAGCCUUCUCGGGCACGCAUCGCGGAGGUUGUCCGUCUCGGUCUUAACCAUAAUUCUUUUGAGAUUGACCUCGGAUCACGUAGGAAUACCC
rnacentral:rRNA from 1 species